GAUGGAGGCACCGCAAUAAACUCAAAUUAUAUGUGAGAAAAAGCGUCACUGUUGUCAUCACCCAAAGAAUCAGGAUGUUGUUCAACUUCUUUGUGUUUGUUUUAUGGUUUAGCAUUGUUUUUAUUUGGAUUUACACGGGGUGAUGAGGCAGGUACCGCCCCUCUUACCAUUGCUUAAGAUUUUUUUUUUUUUUUCUUUUCAUAGCCACACCAGCGGCAUAUGGAAAUUCCCGGGCUAGGGGUCAAAUCAGAGCUGUAGCUGCCAGCCUACACGAAAGCCACAGCAAUGCCAGAUCUGAGCUGCCUCUGCGACCUACACCACAGCUCACGGCAACGCUGGAUCCUUAACCCACUGAGCGAGGUCAGGGAUCAAACCCGCAGCCCUGGAGUCUCUACGUUUGGACCCGGCCCUCAGGGGCAUGAAGGGUAGGGAGCAGACCCCUGCACAGCUCCCCUCACAUUCCUCUGGUGGCGAGAGUCACAUCUCCCAGGGCAGUUUCGAAAGCUAACUUGUUAGCAGCCCGGGAGGUCUGAUCGCUGGCGUUCCAGAAGCCAAGACGUAGCUAAUAGCAAAAGGGUGAUCGUCAAAUAAGUCAGACAGGGACAAUAACUGCCAGUGUUUAUUGGGCAUUUACUCUGUGCCAGUGACCGCUUUAUAUAUGAUAACUCAUUUGAUUAUCACAAUAAACCCAGGAGUUGAGAACUAUCGCUAUCACCUGCAUUUUGUAGACUGUGACACUGAGGGGCAGAGAGGUUCAAUAUAUUGCCGGAUGUCACCCUGCCAUGGGGUGACAGAAGCAGGAUUUGAACCUGGGCAGCAAGACUCCAUGCAAUGAGCUCUUACGCCCUCUCUCUCUGAUUCCUGGUGGGCUUGUACACAGCUCUUCUUUCAGGAGCCCAGCUCCAGCCCGACUCCGGGCCAGAGUUCUGGGGCCAUAAGGAGCCCAGGCAACGCCUCUCCGGGCUGUCCCGAGGACUUGGCCUAGCCUGGGGCUGAGAGCUGGAUUG
rnacentral:lncRNA from 1 species